rnacentral:ncRNA from 1 species
GAGACAACUCUCUCUAAGGAACUCGGCAAAAUAGCCCCAUAACUUCAGGAGGAGGGGUGCACCCUCACAAAAGGGGGUCACAGUGACCAGGCCCGGGCGACUAUUUACCAAAAACAUAGGUCUCCGCAAAGUCGUAAGACCAUGUAUGGGGGCUGACGCAUGCCUAGUGCCGGAAAGUCAAGGAAGUUGGUGAACUGAUGACAGAGAAGCCGGCGACCGAAGCCCCGGUGAACGGCGACCGUAACUAUAACGGUCCUAAGGUAGCRAAAUUCCUUGUCGGGUAAGUUUUGACCUGCACGAGAGGCGUAACGAUCUGGACACUGUCUCGAAGAGAGGCUC